CAAGGAAAGUUAGGAUGAUUCCCUAUUUAUACCCUUUCCAUUCUCCCUUCCCAAUCCACUCCACCUCCUCGAUCGAUCUCUCGUUAAUUUCAAGCACAAUCUCCACGAGCCAUGGCAAAGCACUACACCACCAUCUUCUUCUUGGUCUCUCUUCUCCUCUCGGCCUCCCUCAGCUGCCAUGCAAUAAGGCAUGGCCCUGCAACAGAUUCUUCUUCAAGCACACAUCAAAAGCGAGUCGAAGAAGACAGCAGUAGCAGCAGCUUUGAGGAAGGAUGUGGAGGAGUUGGGGAAGAAGAGUGUUUGAUGAGAAGAACACUUGUGGCUCACACUGACUACAUUUACACACAAGGGAAAACCCCCUAGCUAGUUGAUUAUCAUAUAUAUUUUUUUUGUUAGAAAUUAUCAUACAGCUAAUUUCAUAAAAAAUAAAUAAAUAAAACAUUUAUAAUUGUUCUACUAGUAACAUUGACAAUUACUCCUUAAGGUUGUAUGUGGUUAUAUUUGAUGCAAUUAUAGUUAGUUGGUGUUGUAAGUGAU